rnacentral:rRNA from 1 species
CCUACGGGAGGCAGCAGUGAGGAAUAUUGGUCAAUGGGCGCGAGCCUGAACCAGCCAAGCAGCGUGAAGGAUGACUGCCCUACGGGUUGUAAACUUCUUUUAUAAAGGAAUAAAGUGAGGCACGUGUGCCUUUUUGUAGGUACUUUAUGAAUAAGGAUCGGCUAACUCCGUGCCAGCAGCCGCGGUAAUACGGAGGAUGCGAGCGUUAUCCGGAUUUAUUGGGUUUAAAGGGAGCGUAGAUGGGUUGUUAAGUCAGUUGUGAAAGUUUGCGGCUCAACCGUAAAAUGGAAAUUGAUACUGGUAGUCUUGAGAGCAGUUGAGGUAGGUGGAAUGCGUGGUGUAGCGGUGAAAUGCUUAGAGAUCACGAAGAACACCGAUUGCGAAGGCAGCUUACUAACCUGCCACUGACAUUGAGGCACGAAAGUGUGGGUAGCAAACAGGAUUAGAUACCCGAGUAGUC